GACGAACCGUGCGAACGUUAUUCGGAAUCACUGGGCGUAAAGCGAGUGUAGGCGGUUGCCCAAGUCAGGUGUGAAAGCCUUGAGCUCAACUCAAGAAAUGCACUUGGUACUGGGUGGCUAGAGGACCGGAGAGGAUAGUGGAAUUCCCAGUGUAGUGGUGAAAUACGUAGAGAUUGGGAAGAACACCAGUGGCGAAGGCGGCUAUCUGGACGGUUACUGACGCUAAGACUCGAAAGCGUGGGGAGCAAACAGG
rnacentral:rRNA from 1 species